CAAACUCGAUGAGAUAUUAUCGACACUUUCAAUCCUGAAGCAAAUGCAGGAAGAUUUGAGGCAAUUGAAGGGUGGCAUCUUCAGAAUCUUUACAAAAGAGAUGGAGGGGAUUGUUAGAGCUAUCAGUUCUCUCAAUAGUUGGCCUGAUGCAAUGCAAGCACCGACAGCAUGUGUCCUUGUUACCCAACUGAUUAAAUGCACAAGUAUUGCAGCAUUCCCCUCUUCUCUUUUUUUCUUUGCUUUGCUAAUGUUUCCUUUAUUUUUACAGAUUUGCUAUUUAUCUGUAAGACUGUUUCCUUGUUGCACAGCCGGUUCAUUGGUGAGAGUAGCUUACCUGUUGUGCUUUAACAGGUCCACAGAUUUUAUGCCCGGUUAUCCUUUAAUUCCCCCCCCCCCCCUUUGUUGCUGCAUGUAUACUAGUUUUUCAUUUUAUCCAACCUGGUAGAAAGAGCCGCAGGGAUUAUUAUCCAGGAGGUGCUUGUACCCCUUCCCAGAGCCCGUUUUUUACAUAUCAUACAGUACGAUUUGGUGUGCACCUGGUGAAUUGCUGCUAAAAUAAAUUCUGUAGCUUUAGCCUACCUGCUAUUACCUAUGUUUACUUGGCUAAAACAUGCUUUUUGGUAGUAUAAUUUUCAUCUCCAUUUUGCUGAAUCAUAUCACUACUUCUCUCAAGGUACAAUGCUCAGUACUCAAGGUGAUGCUGCUCACUGAUGCAAAUGGUACAAUGCUCAGUACUCAAGGUGAUGCUGCUCACUAAUGCCGUACAAUCUCACUCGUCUGGGUACAACUGAAGAUGAUAUUGAUCAGUGAUGAUGUUCGAAGUCGGAACAUGGUGAUGAUUUUGACAUUAUACAAACUGAGAGUGUCAUAAUUUUCGUCUCCGUUUUGCUCUGUGAGACAUAAUGACAUAUUAUGUUGGGCGCGACAAA